rnacentral:lncRNA from 1 species
CCCAACAGGUAAGAAUUUGAUCUUUAUUCAGCAAGAUUCAAAGAAAAUUUUUAGAUGCAACUCUAAUUAUCUACAAGAAAGAGUUUUUCUUCCCUACACGCUCAAGUCAGCAGAGAACAAAAGAGCAACAACAGGUUCUCUGAGAGAGAUUUGAUUAUACUUAUCUGAGUUCUCAAGGCUUUGAUUAUUAAUAUAGAAGGAUGUCGAACAGCUGGGUUGUUAGCUGUGAGAUUGUUGGAUCCCAAGAUUGUUAGGCCAUUGGACAUGUCAAACUAGGUAAGAUAAUUCAGUCUUUAAUCGCUCCCACG